rnacentral:rRNA from 1 species
AAACUUAAAGGAAUUGACGGGGCCGCGACAAGCGGAGGAGCAUGUGGUUAAUUCGAUGAUACACGAGGAACCUUACCUGGGCUCGAACGUAAGAUGACUGUAGGUGAAAGCUUACAUCUCUUCGGAGCAUUUUACGAGGUGCUGCAUGGUUGUCGUCAGCUCGUGCCGUGAGGUGUCGGGUUAAGUCCCAUAACGAGCGCAACCCCUACCUUUAGUUGCCAUCAGGUUAAGCUGGGGACUCUAAAGGAACUGCCUACGCAAGUAGUGAGGAAGGCGGGGAUGACGUCAAAUCAGCACGGCCCUUACGUCCAGGGCUACACACGUGCUACAAUGGCCGAUACAGAGGGCAGCUACCUGGUGACAGGAUGCAAAUCUCCAAAGUCGGUCUCAGUUCGGAUCGGAGUCUGCAACCCGACUCCGUGAAGUUGGAUUCGCUAGUAAUCGCGCAUCAGCCAUGGCGCGGUGAAUACGUUCCCGGGCCUU